AGUCCUCAUCUAAACAGUGUGAGGUGGGCCCUGGACUGUCGGGUCUCUGAGAGGAGGUAGCAGAGAGCUAAGACAAAGCAAAACCUUAGGAUGUACCCCCACUGAACGCAUGCAGGAUGGCUCCAGGUAAAAGCCAGAAUUAGAAAGUGCCCAUGAGCAGCGUGUGUCAAGAAUAUGAACGUGAGAUGUCAUUUUGGCUGCGUCUAAUUGAAGCCAGGAUAAAUGGAGUGGAAAGGCAGCGUCUAAUCCAAUCAAAACAUGAAAAAGUGAUACCGUAUCUCGUGGUGUUCAAACACGCCUGGUGUCAGCUCCCGCUUUGUAAAUGCUACAGCAGUUCCACUCUCGGCUUGGUGAUUACACUGGAGUGAGUUUGUGAAGCACUUUUGGACAGUUAAUCCGAUUCAUCAGUAUUUUACGUGGGGAUACCCGACACCAUUUUCUUUUAAUGGGAUGGGCAAUUGGCUUAAAAUAUAAGUCUCUCAUCAUCGGGGCUCACUGACAUAGUGCCACGCACAGAGAUUUUACUGCUGCUCUUAAAGAAAUAGCCGAUAUUGAGAUCACAGAAAGAAGUCAGAUAAUAAAGGCAAAUGGCAGUUUGAUAUGCAAAGAGUGGUUAUACUGUGCUGGCAGAAGUGCUGGUAAAUACUAUUACAGAUUGUCUCCAAGCAGGCGAAAAGCUUCAAGAUCACCUGGCCAGGCCCCUGGAUUUACGGGUGAGAAAAAUGACAGCAACCAGGUAAAAAGAUUUCUCCAGGUCUCUCUGUUCCUUGGAGGCAGAAACAGAACUAUAUUCCCCAGGGCACCAACCAGGGGACACCAGGAUCCUGGCAGCCCCUACCCCAGAGCCCCAGGGGUGACAUUCUAGAGCCAAUGCAUUGUCUUUGGGGCCACCGAUGGAGCAGAAGUGAGGUGUCUCUGAGGAAGUCACUGAAGGCUGGGCCAGGGGAGCAACAUAUCACGGAGCAGCGCAUAAAACUGAAAGUCACCAUUGAACAGUGUUGGCUUCUUCUAAGAGGCCCCUGAUUUCUUAAAAUGCUUUCUUCAAAAGACCAUCUUUUGUUAAAGGGUUUAUUCACACUUAGAGUGGUAGAGUGGAGCAAGAAUAGGAAUUGGGUUCAGAAAGACAGAAGUUCUCAUCUUGGAUGUGCUACAUUCUAGUUCUUGACCUUGGGCACAUCACUGGGCCUGCCUUGCUCGGCCUCAGGAUGCUCACCUGUAGAACAGAGGUAAUAAUUCCUUAUCUGCUCUUGGGACAAAUGCAAGCAGACUUCAUUCCCUGGACAUAGAGCACUUUAAAAACGAAAUAGCCACAACUAGAAUAUGAAAUUUAAAGUCAAGAACUCUGGAUCCGUGUCCCUGUUCUACCACUCAGUAGCCCUCUGAACUCAAUCUCCCCUUCUUUUUUUAAAUUUUAUUGUUUUUUAUUUUAUUGCGGUCAUAAUAGUUUAUAACAUUGUGCAAUUUUGGUU
rnacentral:lncRNA from 1 species